AGAACUCUAGUACACAUUUCUUCAAAUUGGCAUUGAUAAUCAGCCACUGAACCUUCUUGAAUUAAUUUGCUCAGCUUGCCUCCGGGUAGUUGAUAGUGUAAAGAUGUAAAUUUUCUUAUUACUGCUCUCACGAAAUUAGGCCAGUUAGAUAGCAUGUUGCUUGCUUCAAGCCAUGCAAACCAUUUUCUCGCCAACCUAUCAACAUGAAAUGAUACUAUUAGGAGCUUUUGAUCUUCGGG
rnacentral:lncRNA from 1 species